rnacentral:lncRNA from 1 species
UUAUUUUUUAUUUUUUUUUUUUUUUGUCAUAAGACGGUUGUAUUAUACCAAGAUUGAAAAUUACAAAAUCCGGAUGGACAGAGUUUCCUUCAUUCAAGAAGGUAUAUCAUCUAACCGAAAGUAUGUAAAUACUCCGGAAGCUUAGACAACAUAGCCUUUCAAGUCAGAAGAGAUAACCCACAAAAAAAGGGCCUCGUUAAAACCCCUCAAGAGUAAAACCCGGUGGGAAAAAACUCAAGGGGGAAAAAGAGUGCCCUACAAAAAUUACAUCGAUUACAAUUACAAGACAGACUGAAAUGAUGUCUUCUUUAUUCCUUUAUAUCCAUAUUUGUAGCUCAAUUGUCUAGGACACCAAAUUCCCGUCUCUUUCAAACAUCCUGAAAAUAAGACAAAACCGAAUGAAAGUGAUAUAAGCAAAUUUGAAAUUUAUUAAAAUAAAGACAUAAAUGAGCCAAACAUUAUGGCACUUAAAUGCCUUUAUAGGCCAAAAUGCCCCAAUCAUGGUCGCCAUAAAUGGUACAAAAAACCUUAAUUAAGAAUAAUGAAUAUCCUUAAUUAAGGUCCAAUUAUCGCCCAAUUUGCGCCCUUCUUUUCCGCCCCUUCCUCUUCUGGAUCUCUCAACCACCAUGGAUGUUAUGAUCUUUGUUAGGCAAGAAGCUCCUGCAUCCAUGGCAAUUAGCAGUACAAGAACAACCCACACACAUAAAAGAUGAAUAUUAAUAUAAAAAGAAUAGUACACGUAGUACGAGAAUUAGAAACAACAGCGGAAAUAAAAAACAGAGCAUCAAUUAGAUACAAGGAUACAGGGUUCUGGUCCUUCUGGAGUGCUUGUCUUUACGCCACUGGCGCAACGCAGCACCUUCCUCCACCAUAUCUCCAGAAGGCGGGAGCACAUGACAAAUACGGCCAAACCCACUAAGCCAAACACACACAAGAACUCACGCACACACUCACACCUCCUAUACACUCACCCACACCCCUCCUGGCCCCUGUACACCACAUACCAGCACACACAAUACACACACACUGGUAUAUACACACAAAGACACGCUAUAUAUACACACACGGAAACACACGCAACAGUGGGGCUGGGAAAGGGAGAAAGAAUCAGGGAGAAAGGAGGGAGAGAACCGGAGGGAGACGGCGGGGACUGGCGGAGCGACCCGCGGAGGUGGCCGGAAACGGCGAGGAAGAGAGAGAUUCGUGAGGGAGAGGGCGGCGAGAGAGAGUGGCUCAGGAGAGAGAGAGACGCAGGGAGAGAGAUGU